GGCUAUGUUUGGUUCCCGGAAAAUUUGAGGGAAAAUGCGAGGGAAAGAAAAUACAAAGGAAAAAUAGAAGGAAAGAAAAAGUGAAGGAAAAUAAAAAAUAGAUUAAAAGUUGAUAAAUUAUUUUUUUUGUUACUUCAAACUCAUUUUAUUUAUUUUAACUCAUCAAUAUAAAGAUUAAAUAAUUUAAAAAUACAUAAGUUUUUAAUUAGUUUUAAUUAUAUUUGAUUUUCUUUGAUAUUUUUCAUA
rnacentral:lncRNA from 1 species